UUGUCCUGGCCUGUGCUUUUUCUGCUUCCCUGUGCUUAGUUCUGACAGGGUAAACACAAAGAAAAAAAAGAAAGAAAAAAU
ensembl:scaRNA